CGGGAACUCCCUACGGAUCACUACUGAGCGCCGACAGAGCCAAACUGAGAGAGAGAGAGAGAGACAAAGGGCUCGGACUUGGACAAGAGGGGAAGAGGAAAGCCUAGAGGAGGGAUUGAAGGAGGAAGACACACAAUCAGAACAUACUGUAUCAAAAAAAAAAUCUAUUUUCAAUUUUUUUACAAAAAUGUGAAGCUUAACAGAACCCUGAAGAUGUCCGUGUGUGGGUUUCCAACUCACUUAAAGUAGUCACUGUGGCCAAGAAUGAACCAGGGUUUUACCUGUUUCUCCUGUCAUCGAGGAGUGGGGUGGAAUGGUUUGAUGUAUUCAUUAAAUGAAAAAAAUGAACCAGUUAAGAGAUACACACAUACAUACGCAUGCACAUACACGUACACAUGUCUUCCUAACUCAAUCUCUAAGAACAGUUACUUCCCUAAAACUGGCAAGAUCACUCCUACAGCAAGGUCAUCAAUUCCACAACAUUUCAGUUUUUUUAUUUAAAAGUAAAAAAAUU
rnacentral:lncRNA from 1 species